CCGCACGGGCGAGUAACACGUAUCCAACCUGCCGUCUACUCUUGGACAGCCUUCUGAAAGGAAGAUUAAUACAAGAUGGCAUCAUGAGUCCGCAUGUUCACAUGAUUAAAGGUAUUCCGGUAGACGAUGGGGAUGCGUUCCAUUAGAUAGUAGGCGGGGUAACGGCCCACCUAGUCUUCGAUGGAUAGGGGUUCUGAGAGGAAGGUCCCCCACAUUGGAACUGAGACACGGUCCAA
rnacentral:rRNA from 1 species